GACGAACGCUGGCGGCGUGCUUAACACAUGCAAGUCGAACGGAAAGGCCCUGCUUUUGUGGGGUGCUCGAGUGGCGAACGGGUGAGUAACACGUGAGUAACCUGCCCUUGACUUUGGGAUAACUUUAGGAAACUGGGGCUAAUACCGGAUAGGAGCUCCUUCUGCAUGGUGGGGGUUGGAAAGUUUCGGCGGUUGGGGAUGGACUCGCGGCUUAUCAGCUUGUUGGUGGGGUAGUGGCUUACCAAGGCUUUGACGGGUAGCCGGCCUGAGAGGGUGACCGGCCACAUUGGGACUGAGAUACGGCCCAGACUCCUACGGGAGGCAGCAGUGGGGAAUAGUGCACAAUGGGCGGAAGCCUGAUGCAGCAACGCCGCGUGCGGGAUGACGGCCUUCGGGUUGUAAACCGCUUUCGCCUGUGACGAAGCGUGAGUGAAGGUAAUGGGUAAAGAAGCACCGGCUAACUACGUG
rnacentral:rRNA from 1 species